AGGAGGAGGAGGAGGCGCCAGCGACAUCAUUGAAUAUUAAGCAGGACCCGGGCCGAGCGAGGCGACCGCGACCACAACCCCUACCGAGCCAAUAAACAAACAGACGCCCCGGGAGCGGACUUCAACUUGUCUCGCCCGCCUUUCGCUGGGAUUCGGAAGGCUCCGAGACCCGGCACACCCUCGGAAGCGCGGCGGCUCCUUCUCGGAAUUGGGGCUCCGGCGAUCGGGGCGGACCCAUAUAAGAGAAAACAUGCAAUAUUUGUCCUUUUGAAUCUGGCUUGUUUCUCACAACAGCUCCAGUUCCACCCAUUUUCCUGCAAGACAAAGAAUAAAAGAACAAAAGAAAUAAAGAAAGAAAACAAGAAUUGGUAAACACUUUCUGUUGGGCAUCAGAACAAUGAUUUCAAUAGAUCACUUGUAGCCUUUGGAAAACUCAACUAUACCUGAGAAAGAAUAAGAAUGAAAAGGGCAAGUCACAUUUCAGUACUCCUAUAAAAACAUUUUUUACUUUGAGGACUCCCUGAAAUGAUCUCUGACUGGAUGUCUAGACUCCCUGAACUACGCCUGAAGAACUGCUGUCAAGUUAUAGGACUAGUUUGUGUUUUAUACACGAGGAGGCUCACAGAAGUAUAGUAACUUGCUCAAAACAAAUGGAGGUGAGUGGUUCAUGAGGGGUCAGAGACAGAGUCCUUAGCCACUUCACAACCCCGCCAUUCUGCUAACUGACUGAGCUCCACCUUCAGUUUAGCUCAGCCCCAGUGCUUCCCCAGAUGACUUUUAUUAGCAGCAACUGUUUGUAGGCUGUCAGGGUUCCAGGCACUGCAACGGAUCUUCCUGUGCAUUAUCUUAUCCAGUCCUUAGAACCAUUCGCCCACCUCUAUAAUUUCCCCUUGUUUUAUAGAUAGAGGUUAAGAAACUUCUCUAAAGUGACAUAGCCAAGAGCAGCCAGAAGCAGAACCGAGACACCAAACUUGGAUGCAUUCAGAAAUCAAGACACAGAUGAUUGUGGUUCUUUCUAGAUUCCUAGAAGAGAAAACAGCAUCUUCCACUCCACCAUUUGAUGAGAACCAGGCCUGGUUGCGAAGUAUUGACAAUUUUGAAGUGACUGGAGGAGGCAAAAUAAAAGUCACUGUCUUAUUUCCUGAGAAUCUCCUAAUCUGAAGAUACUGGUUUAUAAACCCAGAGCAAACCCAGGGGGAGAGGAGAGCAGCAAAGAUUUGGAAUUGAGAUGUGAAUUAUAGGGUCACCUCUUGCAUGUGAGUGCUGGGUAAAUAAUUCUUAAAUGAAUGAAAACAAGCUGUGAGGAAGUUAAGGAAACGAUUUUCAGCAAUUGAACUUGGUACCGAUGAUAAUUUUGGUAUAUAUUCCUUGAUGUAUCACAGUUAUAUAUUUUUUCACAAUAUAGCCCCCCCCCCCAUACUGGGGCUUAAACUUGUGGCCCCAUGCUCUCAUUUGGCUUUUUUACUCAAAGAAGACACUCUGUCA